GGGGCUACUCUUUGUUGUGGUGCGCGGGCUUCUCAUUGUGGUGGCUUCUCUUGUUGCGGAGCACGGGGUCUAGGCACGCAGGCUUCAGUAGCUGUGGCUUGCGGGCUCUAGAGCAUGGCUCAGUAGUUGUGGCACACUCCGCGGCAUGUGGGAUCUUCCUGGACCAGGGCUUGAACCUGUGUCCCCUGCACUGGCAGGCGAUUCUUACCCACUGCACCACCAGGGAAGCCCCAGCCUUUCUUUUUUAUUGAUGAGUGACUGUGCAGCAGUUAGUUGUGACUUUGGUGCUUUUGGGUUAGGUGAGCACAAGGCCUUCUACUCCAUCUUGUCUUCUCUCUGUGAGGCUAUUCUUUUCCCUGUUUCUAUUCUUGCAACUUUUCUGUGAGCUUGAAAUUAUUUCUAAACACAUGUUGAAAAAAUUUCAAGGGCGUUCGGAAUCUGUGGAUAUGGAAAGGUCUUCAGGACAUAUCAUAAGCGGAAAAACCAAAAACAACGCAAGGGUCAGAGUGAAAACACAAGGGGCUCCUCCUCAAAUUCCAAAGGGUCCAAGCUGAGAACAGAAAAAACCCAGAUGGGCGGGGCCCUAUCUGACUGAACUGAUACAACAACAAGGAAGGACCCCAGAGGCCUUAUGCCACCAGGUGGGAGGCUCCAGGGAAUCGUGUGUUCCGUGUGACUCCGUUUACAUGACAUCCUAGAACAGGUGGCGGCAGAGAGAGAAGCAGCCCGAAGGCCCGGGACGGCCUCCGAGGGGACGUGCACUCACCGUGCUGGCAGUGAACUCGGGGGGGUUGUCGUUCACGUCUGUCACCGUGAUGAUGGCUGUGGCCGUGUUGGACAGGCCAUAGUUCAGGUUUCCUUCCAUGUCUGUCGCUUGAACAACGACUGUGUACUGCUGAACUUUCUAGAAGGGCAUGAGGGGGAGGAAGACAGCAUCAGUUUGGGUUUUAGUUUACAGGCUGUAUAUACUUUCAUUAAAGAAAUACAUUCCCCGGACGGACUCAGCUGGGUCCCCGUCCUGCCCGGGGGCGCUCGGCAGGUGACCUGGCAGAAGAAAGUUCUCACUUGCGGUGGGUGGUGAGGUCUCUGCCUUCACCUCAGUGCCUGGCUUCCACGGGUGUAGAUCGAGGUAGAAAUAAGGAAAAGGGGGCCUGGAGCACACAGCACGCUGUGCUGGGUUUGCCAGACCAGGGGUGGACAGACCCCCAGACGUGUGUCUGCAGGGACCUCAUUUCUUGAGCAUCCUCAGUGUCUAGUUCAGCCUCAGUCCAGGAAUUCGAACAGGAGAAGGGAGCCAAGCCCUCUCCCCUCUCUCUGCGGGCACACAGACGCCAGCAUUACUCUGCGUCUGAACAGUCUGGAAGGAGUGGUUAGCGUUCAGAUGCAGGUGUGAAUUUUAAAAGGCAAAAUGAUGCUUGAUGGGGACGGCGAAUUUCACUGGGCACUGAAGGGGCUGCCCAGCCCUUCUCCACCUGGACCCACUGGUGCAGCAACGCCAGGUCAGCAGAGGGGGCCUUUCCACACCCCUGUUCUGAGCAGAGGCCGCAGGUGUUUCCAACUGUGACAGGUGGGGACGCUGAGUCUCAUGAUGUCCCCAGUGGCACACAGCAAACCAGAGGCUGCUGGAGUGGCCGCUGGGAUUCCUGAUGAGGGUUGGCGCCUCUGUGAUGGGUGAAUGCAGACGGCUCCGUGCCGCCAAGGCAGCGACGUCAGCCAGGAUGCCAGGAGGCCUCUUUCUGAAUGUGGCACACAAGGUACCCAAGGGCACGGCAGCGCCAUCCUUAACCCGCUUCCCCCCGACAGCUGCACGGUCAGUAUCCGUCUCCACGUGUGUGGACAGGUGCAUAUGCUCAGACAUCCAUCGGGCCCUUGACAUCAGGACCUCGCUCAGGGCAGGGGUCCCUCCUUCGCGACUGCUGUGCCUCUGGACCCCAGCAGGGAAUAAGUGCCCCUCCCUCUUGCCCAUCAAAGGCGGCUGGUCAUCUCUGGUCACUGCUGCCUCAGCAGGGACAUGGCAGCGACAGGCUGGGGACAGUACCGGCGCCAGGGUGGGUAGACUGACGAACCGAACCCAAACCUCAGGUCCCCGCGUGCCCUCGGCGAGGGUCCUGCCCGGAGCGUCCCGGACCCAGCCAGGCCUGAAGGCGCCCUGUGCGUUCAGUCACGUGAGCCAGUUAGCCCUCUCUUUUGUUUGAUCCUGGAGCUCGUUUCUGUCCUCUGCUACAGAAGGGGGUCUGACUGCCCCACCUGCGACUGUCUUUCUUUCUGUGAGGGACACCAUCACAGGAAGCACAGUGGGACGACCGGGCACCUCAUGCAGGAGAGAACAGGACUCCGCUGACGUUCUCCCAGCACCACCGGCCCCGACCCUCGGGGCACCGACGGGGCCUGAGGGCAGACUCUGGCCCGACUGUCGUGGCCUCAGUCGGGGUGUCAUGGUGAGCGCUCCGCCAUCGAGCCUCGCAGAGUCACCCCCACAGUGUCGACAGACACCACGCCCUCCGUCCAGCUCUGUCUUAGAUUAUCCCUUACAGCUCAGGCUUCCUUGUACUUCAAUAAACAUUUAGAAGCGUUUAUGCCGCUGCUAUAAAUGGCAAACGAGCAUCACCUUCCACAAAUAGAAAUUAGUCCUAAACACGACUGUGUAUUUUUAAAGGUCCAUCUGUGAGUGUCCAGGCCCAGUGCACAAAGCAAUGGGGGGACCCAGGCCGACGGAGCCACGCGACGCCCCCCGCAGCGGCUGCCCGUCACCUCUCGCCAUGUGGAGGACACGCAGGCUGAGAGGGGCCCGCCCCACCCCCGGCUGGUAGGCUAACACGGAGCGGGUCCCAGGGCUCCUCUGCUAGGACCUGCCCUGGCUCUGCUCCCUGGGCACGAGCAGAGGCCUACAGGCCACCGGUCCCGGGGCAGGCGGGGCCCGCUGGCCGCACGCUUUCUCCUCUGCCGCCCCCCAAAGCCACGGUGCCCUCCGGGCCGGUGCAGGGCUGUUCCGCCUGCCCUAGCAUUCUGCUCGCCCCCAUCAGCAAGGCCUUCCCUGCCUCCCUGAAUAAAAUACGAUC